ensembl:lncRNA
CAUUGUGGAAGAAAAACAGGAUUCACAUUGCAAUUGACAUUUUUUAAAUGCUUCAAAUACCUGCAUCUGGAGCGGAGCCAUUGUGUGUGUCUGUGCAUGGGUGAGUGAUAUGCCUGCCUCCUUGUGUUUGGGAGGAAAACUACAGCUCUUCUAUAGUACACCUCACUCUCUGACCGGGAAACCUGUCUGCUCACAAAGAAGUUCUACUUGGAAAAUGAAGUCUAUAUGCUGAUUGUUGCUGUAAUGAAUGCACAUGCAGUUUGGAGGUAACAUUUACACAAAUUUUUAAUCUGACCUGCUAUUUACCAUACUGAGGUUCAUCAAAGAUAUAGUGGUUCCUGAUACACCCUGUGAAUUAUUGCCUUGCAUAUUGAUGCAGUAUUUUAGGGCUUAAAUAGAGUAAUUUGCAGUAAUAAUUAGCAUUUUCAACCUUGCAAUGAUUUUCAACUCUAACAAUUCAGACCAAGAAACAAAGCCUUUGUUAUUACAUGGUGAUGCACGUUGAUAUUGACAUAUUUAUUAGUGGAGCAAAAAUCUAUCUAUCAGCACUUUAGUGUCCCAGAUUACUCUAAUUUUCGUUUUUAUUAAUUUUAUGCACCAUGAUGGAGAAUUAACAUGGUAAAUAAAUUCACAAUUUAUAUGACUGUAAUUUCAAGCUUUUAAGUAUAAUUGUUUAGAUAAAAAUAAUGUAAGAUCAUACAUUCAGGUCAGAUGUGUCCAAACUUAGCUCAUCGCUUACUGUAAGUGCAAGCAUUGUCUAAUUUUUUGUGUUUAGUUGUACAUAUGAAGCUUUGGACAGCACCAAUGUCCAGCCAAAGACAUUUCAGUUAUAUAAAAAGAUAUGUAGGUGAUUUACAGUUUUCAUCUUUGGAAUUCUGAUGAUUGUAAUGAUUGUAUGCUGUAAUAACUGCCUCCAGCUGAGAGGUGGUUGGAGUUUGGGUGUGUGAAAUGCCUUCAUUGGCCACCUGAUGUUUGUACAGUUUUAUUGCUGUACAGUUCUGUUGAUCGACUGCUGUCAAAGCUUCUCGCUCAGUGGGUGAGAUGUUUGUUCUGGAGCCGUGUUCCUCUGCUGUCUGCUCAUUUAUGGGUGUGCGGCAAGUUUUAGAGGCUGACAUGCUGAAAGCUGAUAUAACUCUUGUUACUUUAUCUGUCUAUCCAUCACACUCCAUCUCCACACAAUUCAGCUACACAAGGCUAGCCCUUCUUACAUGUACAGUAUACCUGUUUGGAUACAAGUUUAUUUGCUUCUAUGUCUUUUACUGGCUCUUAGCACAGAUUGCUCCUCAUUUGUUCACAAAUUUCUAAGUAAAUGUUUUGUAAAACCAUUCUUGUGUAAGUCAUUGUCAAAUAGAGAAAUGUAUGAUAUUUAUAAUGUAGAAACUAAAAUU